AUACGUAGGGAGCGAGCGUUGUCCGGAAUUACUGGGUGUAAAGGGAGCGUAGGCGGGAGUGCAAGUCAGAUGUGAAAUACAUGGGCUCAACCCAUGGGCUGCAUUUGAAACUGCAUUUCUUGAGUGAAGUAGAGGUAAGCGGAAUUCCUGGUGUAGCGGGGAAAUGCGUAGAUAUCAGGAGGAACACCGGUGGCGAAGGCGGCUUACUGGGCUUUUACUGACGCUGAGGCUCGAAAGCGUGGGGAGCAAACAGGAUUAGAUACCCUGGUAGUCCACGCUGUAAACGAUGAUUACUAGGUGUGGGGGGACUGACCCCUUCCGUGCCGCAGUUAACACAAUAAGUAAUCCACCUGGGGAGUACGGCCGCGAGGCUGAAACUUAAAGGAAUUGGCGGG
rnacentral:rRNA from 1 species